GCGAAAUGCAAGAGCUCUCAGCAAGGAGUUGUUGAAACCAAACUUAUGGUUUGAGCUAUGUUAGGAGCAGGAAGGAGCUCUGCUGAGUCAGUGAACAGUCUUAAUGGAAAGGAAGAAGGUGAAGGAAGAAGGCUUGUCUUCCUUGCUUUGUAAACCCCCCCCCCCCACAUUCCUACCCCUUCUUCAAACCAAAACAAAUCCAUCAGGAGGCCUGAAUCAUUUGGAAAGAAACCUCUCUGAAAAGUGCAACUGAGCACAGAACAAGCCCCUCUUAUCUGCUCAUCAUUGGCAAACUCUUGACUUCCUACAAGAACAUAGUAGAAGCAUAGCAUGGACAGGUGCUUGUUGUUUCCAUAGAGGAAAUUGGCCUCUGCUUGAAUCAAGCAUUAGCAGAGCUGUCAUGAAGAGCUGAACCAGCACCAAAAUGGCCUAGGAAGAGUAAGAUACUCCCCACUGAAUCAUAUGUGUCUUUGAUUAAGCCUGAGUUCCUGGCACAACAAAAGAAGUACUAAAAGCAAGUGAAGUUGGUCCCUUUGUCAAUUUCAAAACCAAACAUUUUCCUGCCUUGGGGAUUUUGCAGAGCACAGAACCUUAUAAUAAGGUCCUUUCUUCCACAGAUAUGUAUGGUUUUUUGAUCCUGUACUAGAGGUUCAUUCUGGAGGUUCUUGGGAAGUAUAAUAACUGCUACUGCAAUGGGAGUUUGGUGAUGCAAGCUGCCAAAUACUGCUCCAGAAACCCACCUAGCCAAGUAUCCAGCUUUGUGCUUACCACCUUUCGCCGCUAAGCUGAAUCACUGGCUGCAGAGCCUCUAAGUUGGAGCACUGGACUGCAGAAUAGUUAUUGAGCUGAAAUCACCAGCCCUGAGCACUCCUUACGUGGAAUUGUUGUGAGGACUACACUGGACUGCCAUGAACACUUUCCCCCCACCCCAAUACUUAUCUUUGAUAUUUACAUAAACAUACAAAAGAAACCAAUUUUUUUUAAAAAAAAAAACACCAGGUAAAACUCAGCUCAGGAACACUUCUUUUAUUAUUACUUCACUUCAUCCAUUUAGAAUCUUUAAAAAUACAUUUAUAAAAUAAAAACCAUUUCCAGUCUCCGAGGUCUUGUAUACACAGUAAGCUAGAUUCCUUGGAUCACGUUCUGUGUGGGCUUGUCACAGGACUAUCCCUGUGCCUGACUACCUGAGAGUUCUUAGACUCCCAAGCAGAAACCUAAAGAGAAACCUCUGAGGCUGGGUCAUUCCCUAGGUGGGCUUGAUGUUGGCUACUCCCUGCACCCGACCAUCUGGAAAUCCCAGCACUCCCCUUUGCUGGUUAUGGGCAUCUGCACUGUCAUGCAGGCACCCUGCUGCCUCUCCUCGCCCUCCUUUGGCAGAACCUUUGCAAGGGAACUCAAAUCUUCUCCAGGCACUUCUCUCUCAGCCUAACCUACUUCACAGGGUUGUUGUGAAAGAGAAACUCAAGUAUGUAGUACACCGCUCUGGGCUCCUUGGAGGAAGAGCGGGAUAUAAAUGUAAUAAAUAAAUAAAUAAAUAAAUAAAAUUUUGGCACUGCACACACAACAGCAAAUAUGGACAGGUAACAAAAUGCUCUUUCCCCUCCCCCCUCACUCACCCCCCCUCCUUUUUCUACCCACAUUCCAAUGCCUGCCAAUCACCAAACUUUUAGAGCCUUCACUUCCUCUCCCUCCUUAUCUAGUCCCCAGAAGCUACCUUCACUCCUUGUGUAACCGCAAUAGUAUCAUAGUUGCAAAAUAUCACUGUUCACAUUGUGCUUCUGGUUUAUCAAUAAACUUUAUUCCUUAA